rnacentral:rRNA from 1 species
GACAGAGGGGGCAAGCGUUGCUCGGAAUUACUGGGCGUAAAGAGCUCGUAGGCGGUCUGUCGCGUCGAAUGUGAAAACCCGGGGCUCAACCCCGGGCCUGCAUUCGAUACGGGCAGACUAGAGUUCGGUAGGGGAGUCUGGAAUUCCUGGUGUAGCGGUGAAAUGCGCAGAUAUCAGGAGGAACACCGGUGGCGAAGGCGGGACUCUGGGCCGAUACUGACGCUGAGGAGCGAAAGCGUGGGGAGCGAACAGG